AUGUGCUUAUAUUAGAAAGCACUUCUUCUAGCUCUUAAAGGGUUAAGAAGAGGGACUCCCCUCGCGCCGUCGUCGUCGCUCGGCUUCGGCUUCGGCUUUGGAUUUGGAUUUGGUCAAAUGAUCUGAUUGAUUGAUAAUCUUCAUUUUCUGAAAUUAUUUUUAAUUCCCGUGGGAAUUCAUUAAUUUGUUAACUGUAAACUUCCCAACGUUCUUAUUUUUCAGAAAAAGGCAUGGCCUUUC
rnacentral:lncRNA from 1 species